GCAAACUUGGUCAUUUAGAGGAAGUAAAAGUCGUAACAAGGUUUCUGUAGGUGAACCUGCAGAAGGAUCAUUAGUGAAAGCAAGAGGCCUGCCAUACGGACGCGCUACUCGCGCAGUCUCUGGCGCCUCAACCCUUUACACAAACAUCCAAACCCGUGUGCACCUGUAGUCUGUUGGGCUUGAGCAAUCGAGCCGGGCAGCUACGCAAAUUUAAACCAAACUCGUAUGGUUGUAUGAACGUGUAAAUCGUUGGACCGUAACUGGCCAGCAAACAAACAAUACAACUUUCGACAACGGAUCUCUUGGUUCUCCCAUCGAUGAAGAACGCAGC
rnacentral:misc_RNA from 1 species